AUAAAUUGUUGAUAAGAACCAUUCUUGUCCUCCAUUUUGUUCUUACUUCAGUGAAACAAUGAAGGUUCCUUUCUGUGUAGUUUGUUUAGUGUUUGUUUACCUGGCAGGUUCUACUUAUGCUCAACUAAUUACACCAAUGAUGGCUUGUGAGUUUAAAUGCAUCCAUGACAAGACAGGCGGGAGUUCAGUUUCCUUUGAGUCACCAAUAUAUACAGACUGUCGGGAUUACUGUUUGAAACAUGCAUACGAUAACAUGGGAAACCUGGGAACACUAGGAUGAGAAGUCGUCCUAACUAGCACAGUAACCGUUAACAAAGAAUUAAAUAAUAAAGAUUUAAUUUUCACUC